rnacentral:rRNA from 1 species
UACGUAGGGACCGAGCGUUGUCCGGAAUCAUUGGGCGUAAAGAGCGUGUAGGCGGCUAUUUAAGUCCUGCGUGAAAUCCUGCGGCUCAACCGCAGACGGUCGUGGGAAACUGGAUGGCUAGAGUGCGGGAGAGGAGAGUGGAAUUCCCGGUGUAGCGGUGAAAUGCGCAGAUAUCGGGAAGAACACCCGUGGCGAAGGCGGCUCUCUGGAACGCAACUGACGCUGAUGCACGAAAGUGUGGGGAUCAAACAGG